UGUUGUUGUGGCUGUGAGAAGGCGGCGGCGGCGGCGGAGUAGCAGCAGCCGGAGCAGACUCCUAGUAGCUCAGGCGCUGCACUGCGCCGGCCCUGGCAGGGAGCCUGUAAAGGGACUUCCCAAGCAUGGGUGGCAGCUGUUCAAGUCCAUCUGGUCAAGAAUUCACUAAGAUCAUAAUGUGAAAGUUGCUCAAGUGCAGAUUUGCAUGACAGCCUGCAAAUGUUCCUUUGGAGACGAAAUGGUUUCUCAGGUCAAUAAUCUGCAUAUUUAAAAGUCUCUAGAACACCCUAAGAUGGCGGCGAGGGAGACGGUGAAGGUUGGCUCCCGCCUGUCUGGGCUCUGAUCCUCUGUCUCCCCCUCCGCCUGCGGCCGGCUC
rnacentral:lncRNA from 1 species